GUAGAUUGGAAAAAUAAAUAGUAUAGAAAUCUUAAGGAAGAAGUUAAGAGUAAAUUCCAGUAAAAGUUAUUUAGAAAAACUAGAUGUUGAUAUCCGGAGAGGGCCGGUUAUGAACUAGGAUCGAAAUCAGAUCCUGAGGCACAAAACUGAGUCUCGACAACGACUCCAAGACUCUUUGGCAGAUCGGAGAAUGGGGUUUGAUAGAAGAUUGAAUAGGUUUUCUAUGG
rnacentral:lncRNA from 1 species